rnacentral:rRNA from 1 species
UGCGUAGGCGGAACUUUAAGUCAGUGGUGAAAUCCUGCGGCUCAACCGUAGAACUGCCAUUGAUACUGAUGUUCUUGAAUGCAGUUGAGGUAGGCGGAAUGUGUAAUGUAGCGGUGAAAUGCUUAGAUAUUACACAGAACACCGAUUGCGAAGGCAGCUUGCUAAACUGUGAUUGACGCUGACGCACGAAAGCGUGGGGAGCGAACAGGAUUAGAUACCCUGGUAGUCC